ACCGUCUCUCAUGAAAAAACGCCCCUAGUAUCUUCCUCUAUAAAAACUCAUCUCCUUCCAAAUCAUUCUCCCAAACCAAAUUCCAUAAAUCCCAGAAAAACCCUAAUCCCAGUUUUGAAAUCCCAUUGCAAAGUUCUCAUUUAGUAUGCCCGUAACACGAGGCGUUACAUCCAUGUCAUCAUACAAGGAAAGUUUAGUUGGGCAAGUGCUGGACAACCAAGGUCCGUUGUGAAGAGGAGCCGAUUGAAGCGAUAGAGACUGCAACUGGGGCGAAGAAGAAUAGCUUGUGCUUCAUUGAGGUGAUAGCCCACAAGGACCAGAAAAGUGUUGCUUGAGUGGGGGUCUAGGGUGUCUGCUGCCAACAGCCGCUCGCCCAACCCUCAGUAAAGUCUUCCAUCUCAUUUCCCUUCAUCAACGCUGGGUCAUUCGAUCUGGAGGAAAAAAAAAAUUUGUAUUUGUUCCUUCUUGUGAAGGGUUUCUUAUGUUUUGUUUUUAAUAUUUUUCCAUGAAAACUGAUUUCUCAAGUACAUUCCCCUUUGAACUACGAGUAUCUACUCAUAUUUUAAUUAGUUUAUGAUCUAGUUUGCGUAUUACAUAUUAAUGGAAAAACUUGCAUUUCAAGU